AUGGCUGACGGCGAGGACAUCCAGCCACUUGUGUGUGACAAUGGCACUGGAAUGGUCAAGGCUGGUUUUGCUGGUGAUGAUGCCCCAAGAGCAGUUUUCCCUAGUAUAGUUGGCCGCCCUCGGCACACAGGUGUCAUGGUUGGAAUGGGCCAAAAAGAUGCCUAUGUGGGUGAUGAAGCGCAGUCAAAAAGGGGUAUCCUGACCUUGAAAUACCCUAUUGAGCAUGGCAUUGUGAGCAACUGGGAUGACAUGGAGAAAAUCUGGCAUCACACCUUCUACAAUGAGCUGCGUGUUGCCCCUGAAGAACAUCCAGUUUUGCUGACAGAAGCUCCUCUGAACCCAAAGGCAAACAGAGAGAAGAUGACCCAAAUCAUGUUCGAGACAUUCAAUGCCCCAGCGAUGUAUGUGGCUAUUCAAGCUGUUCUUUCUCUAUAUGCCAGUGGUCGUACUACAGGUAUUGUGCUUGAUUCUGGUGAUGGUGUGAGCCAUACUGUGCCGAUCUAUGAGGGAUAUGCACUUCCUCAUGCUAUUCUCCGGCUGGAUCUUGCGGGCCGUGAUCUGACCGACUCCCUGAUGAAGAUCCUCACAGAAAGGGGUUAUUCCUUCACUACAACCGCAGAGCGGGAAAUCGUAAGAGAUAUAAAGGAGAAGCUCGCCUAUGUCGCCCUUGACUAUGAGCAGGAGCUGGAGACAGCCAAGAGCAGCUCGUCCGUCGAGAAGAGCUACGAGCUGCCUGACGGGCAGGUCAUCACGAUCGGCGCCGAGAGGUUCAGGUGCCCGGAGGUGCUGUUCCAGCCCUCGCUGAUCGGCAUGGAGGCUCCUGGGAUCCACGAGACCACCUACAACUCCAUCAUGAAGUGCGACGUGGAUAUCAGGAAGGACCUGUACGGCAACAUUGUGCUCAGUGGAGGGACGACCAUGUUCCCCGGCAUCGCCGACCGGAUGAGCAAGGAGAUCACCGCCCUUGCACCGAGCAGCAUGAAGAUCAAGGUCGUGGCGCCUCCCGAGAGGAAGUACAGUGUCUGGAUCGGUGGUUCCAUCCUCGCCUCCCUCAGCACAUUCCAGCAGAUGUGGAUAUCCAAGGGAGAGUACGACGAAUCCGGGCCCUCGAUCGUCCACCGCAAGUGCUUCUAA
rnacentral:rRNA from 1 species